rnacentral:rRNA from 1 species
GAUGAACGCUGGCGGCGUGCUUAACACAUGCAAGUCGAGCGAGAAGUUUUGAAAAGAUUCUUCGGAUGAAAUUUAAAAUGGAAAGCGGCGGACGGGUGAGUAACGCGUAGGCAACCUGCCCCAUACAAAGGGAUAGCAUUUGGAAACGAAUAUUAAUACCUUAUGAAACUUAACUAGUGCAUGCUAGGUAGGUCAAAGAUUUAUCGGUAUGGGAUGGGCCUGCGUCUGAUUAGCUAGUUGGUGAGGUAACGGCUCACCAAGGCGACGAUCAGUAGCCGACCUGAGAGGGUGAACGGCCACAUUGGAACUGAGACACGGUCCAAACGCCUACGGGAGGCAGCAGUGGGGAAUAUUGCACAAUGGGGGAAACCCUGAUGCAGCAACGCCGCGUGAACGAUGAAGGCCUUUGGGUCGUAAAGUUCUGUUCUAGGUGAUGAAAACUGACAGUAACCUAGGAGAAAGCCCCGGCUAACUCCGUG